AGCCCCCUAACUAAUUAAAAUACAAAACAAUCCCCUAUGUAUUGGAUCUUUGACAGUUUUAGCUCCCAAGACCACUUUUGAUUUAGUCUUUGUUGACGUGGCACCCACAAUGGUCGAAACGUGAUACCUCGCUUAAGGGAUGUGGGUGCCACGUCAGCGAAGAUUAAGUCAAAAGUGGUUUUGGAGGCCAAAACUGCCAAAGAUCCAAUACAUAGGAGGCUGUUUUGUAUUUUAAUUUGUUAGGAUGUC
rnacentral:pre_miRNA from 1 species